UUGCUCCCUUAGGUCAGCGGCGGACGGGUGAGUAACACGUGGGUAACCUGCCUGUAAGACUGGGAUAACUCCGGGAAACCGGGGCUAAUACCGGAUGCUUGAUUGAACCGCAUGGUUCCAAUCAUAAAAGGUGGCUUUUAGCUACCACUUACAGAUGGACCCGCGGCGCAUUAGCUAGUUGGUGAGGUAACGGCUCACCAAGGCGACGAUGCGUAGCCGACCUGAGAGGGUGAUCGGCCACACUGGGACUGUAGACACGGCCCAGACUCCUACGGGAGGCAGCAGUAGGGAAUCUUCCGCAAUGGACGAAAGUCUGACGGAGCAACGCCGCGUGAGUGAUGAAGGUUUUNGGAUCGUAAAACUCUGUUGUUAGGGAAGAACAAGUACCGUUCGAAUAGGGCGGCACC
rnacentral:rRNA from 1 species